CUGGGCAAAGCUCAGAACGUCAGCACCACGCUCCAGGAGUAGCCGCACAGCAGCUAUCUUGCCUGCUGAUGCCUGCAAACACCGUGUUACACUGGGUGUCAUCUCGUGUAGGAACCAAGGAAGACUUCACAAGAGAUGAAAGGCAUGUCUGAUGUCCUCAGCACCACAAGUCUACUGUGAGGUGCCAGCCUAUCUCAGGGAUCUGAAAUUGCCUCUGCCCUACUUCAACUGAAAUCAUCUUGAAAGUUUCCUAACCUCAUCACUUUGCGUGCAAGUGCUUCCUGCAAGGCGAGGACGUGCUCUCACCUCGUCCCGCUGGCCGCUCCAUGCAGCAAGUAGGAGCCGCCGCUCCUCGUUGCUUCGGUGGGGGCUCUCCUUGAGCAGGUAGUCAGGAAAGCC